rnacentral:rRNA from 1 species
CCUACGGGAGGCAGCAGUGAGGAAUAUUGGUCAAUGGGCGUAAGCCUGAACCAGCCAAGUCGCGUGAGGGAUGAAGGUUCUAUGGAUCGUAAACCUCUUUUAUAAGGGAAUAAAGUGCGGGACGAGUCCCGUUUUGUGUGUACCUGAUGAAUAAGGAUCGGCUAACUCCGUGCCAGCAGCCGCGGUAAUACGGAGGAUCCGAGCGUUAUCCGGAUUUAUUGGGUUUAAAGGGUGCGUAGGCGGCCUUUUAAGUCAGCGGUGAAAGUCUGGGGCUCAACCCUCGAAUUGCCGUUGAAACUGGGGGGCUUGAGUAGGUGAGAGGCAGGCGGAAUGCGUGGUGUAGCGGUGAAAUGCUUAGAUAUCACGCAGAACCCCGAUUGCGAAGGCAGCCUACCAGGCCAUGACUGACGCUGAGGCACGAAAGCGUGGGGAUCAAACAGGAUUAGAUACCCCAGUAGUC